rnacentral:rRNA from 1 species
AAUCAACGCUGGCGGCGUGCCUAACACAUGCAAGUCGAACGCGAGAGGGGCUUCGGCCCCGAUUGAGUGGCGAACGGGUGAGUAACGCGUGGGUGACCUACCUUCGAGUGGGGAUAACGUCCCGAAAGGGACGCUAAUACCGCAUAACAUCCUGCUUUUGAAUGGGUGGAGAUCAAAGCCGGGGAUCGCAAGACCUGGCGCUUGAUGAGGGGCCCGCGUCUGAUUAGCAGUUGGUGAGGUAACGGCCCACCAAGGCAACGAUCAGUAUCCGGCCUGAGAGGGC